rnacentral:rRNA from 1 species
AUGGAGAAGAUGAUGCAGGAACUAGGGCUGAAGGAGGAGGAUCUUGAUGAUGUGAUCUUCGACGAGAGAGAGGCGCCGCAACCAGAACCUAGAUGGAUUGCGCUGGCCCGGGUCAACACCAAUAAAACCUAUAGCCAGACAUGGUUCUAUAGAAACAUGCGAUCUGCAUGGGAUGUAGCGCAACAGGUGAAAUUCAAGCCUCUCGAGGACAACCUCUAUACGGUCCAGUUCGCUUGUCUUGGGGAUUGGGAGAGGGUCAUGCAGGAUGGCCCAUGGAAUUUCAGAGGAGAUGCGGUGAUCCUAGCACCGUAUGAUGGGAUCACAAAACCAUCGACAAUCAAGCUUGAGACAAUUGAUAUCUAG